AUUGAACGCUGGCGGCAUGCUUUACACAUGCAAGUCGAACGGCCUCGCGGGCUUCGGGCUGGCUGCUAGUGGCGAACGGGUGCGUAAUACACCGGAACCAGCCCCGUAGUGGGGGAUAGCUCGGCGAAAGCCGGCUUAAUACCGCAUACCACCUGAGGGUGAAAGCGGGGGGUCUUCGGACCUCGCGCCUUCGCAGCGGCCGAUGCCAGAUUAGCUAGUUGGUGGGGUAAAGGCCUACCAAGGCGACGAUCUGUAGCUGGUCUGAGAGGACAACCAGCCACACUGGGAGUGAGACAAGGCCCAGACUCCUACGGGAGGGAACAGUGAGGAAUUUUGGACAAUGGGCGAAGGCCUGAUCCAGGAAUGCCGCGUGUGGGAUGAAGGCCUUCGGGUGGUAAAGCACUUUUGGCGGGAACGAAAAGGACUGUGCCAAUACCACGGUUCGAUGACGGUACCCGGAGAAUAAGCACCGGCUAACUACGUG
rnacentral:rRNA from 1 species